rnacentral:rRNA from 1 species
CGCCGCGGUUAUACGCAAGGCCCAAAUUGAUAAGAACGGCGUAAAGGGUGGUUAAACAGACAUAAAAAUAACGCAGAACCUACCAUUCGGCUGUUUAAAGCUAAACGGAGGGGAACCCCAAGAACGAAAGUUGCCUUAAAAUGUUGAACCCACGAAAGCUAGGGCA